GGUAUGAAUUAAAUCGUACAUAACGCUACCGCUUCAACAUGGCGACCUAACAUUACGCUGGGCUGGUUAUUUCAGUAUUUUGAUUCUAGGUGGCGCUGCGCUUCGCUUGUACGAUUAGUUCAUAUAUGUUCGUACGCUCGUCAAGCACGCUGACAAGUAACUCGGCGUUGGCUGUGUGUCACGUAUUUCGAAUUGGCAUUACUACUACUAGUGGAUUAUUCACCUCGAGUGAACGCACUGCAAGACAACGGACAUGUAGCUGCGUGAGC